GCUUUCGAACCUCAAGCUUAGUUGUGGCUAAUGAAACAUUCUCGGCAACGCUUCGCAGUAGUUCUCGUGCGGCGGUCACAGGAUUUCACCCCUCGCGUCGCAAUACGAUGCGUCCGUCAGUCCCUAUUAUUCAUUUCCCUUAGACUGUCAUAUCCAUCCAAAUCGAGCCAGGGACGUAUUCUCCAAUUCCAUGAAUAUGUUACAGGCAUACAGAGCCUGCCUUGAGCACUCUAAUUGGUUCAAGGUAACGUCGCCGGCCGCCAACAGGCCCCUCCCAAGACCGGCCCGCCGCCGGAUCUGGCACGAUUACUACGGCCAGUUGAUAUUUCCGAGCCCAGCAGUGACGCCCGAGCGACACCGCCAGGCAUACCCGACCGGACACGCACUGAUAUCCAACUACGAGCUUAUUACCCGCACCAGCUUUAAUAUCGCUUUUAGCUUAAAUCCACAUAACAGACACUUGGUGUCGAGGCUGUGCGCAUUUUCGCUAUUAUGUGUUCUUUUAAUUAAAAUGAUUCUUUUUAAAUCUCUAAUAUUUGCUUCGGCAUUUUUGGAGAUUGGUUACUUUGAGUAAAUUAGAGUGUUCAAAGCAAACAGAUAUAGCAUUUGUGCGUUUGAAUACUACAGCAUGGAAUAACAAAAUUGAACAAGUCAAAAUUUUUGUUCUUUUUUCUUAUUUUGGGUUAGUUACGAUUAAUAGGAGUAGCUUGGGGGCAUUUGUAUUCAGAUGUCAGAGGUGAAAUUCUUAGAUUUUCUGGAGACAAACAACUGCGAAAGCAUUUGCCUAAAAUACUUCCAUUAAUCAAGAACGAAAGUUAAGGGAGUGAAGACGAUCAGAUACCGUCGUAAUCUUAACCAUAAACUAUGCCGACUAGGCUUUGGAUGAAAGAUUUUAAAAUAAGAGUUUUCCUUUCCCUUCGGGGUUAGGACUCAAA
rnacentral:rRNA from 1 species